CGGGGUAUAGCGCAGCCCGGUAGCGCGCCUGCUUUGGGAGCAGGAUGUCGAGAGUUCGAAUCCCUCUACCCCGACCA
rnacentral:tRNA from 1 species